AAACAUCAACAUGUGAUAGACGCCAUGAUUUGAAAUAACCGUAAGCAUGAUGGUGGAACAUAUCCUUGAGAACCAUUUAUCUGAAAGCAAACUGUCUGGAUGAACGCCAUCAUAAAAAUGAUUGUAAAUAAACUUGGUUGAUUUCCCUAAUGUCAUGUUCAAGAGAAUUUUGCUGGAAGUUGGAGUCGUCGAAAGCAUAUUGACUUAUUUGCAGAUUCCAGCCAUGAAAACUAUGCGGCAUGGUGAGGUGUCAGGCAUGCUUUUGUGAAUUGAUAUAACUUCGUUCUUUAACCUUUCAAUAGUGCCUCCUGGUCUGCAUAUAACGGAUAUUUUCCAGUGGUUGUUCCACUGAAACUGCUGCAACCACUGGGCCUGACAAGGAGUUGCCUUGUACUCCCGAAGACACAAAAGGACAUCUUUUAGUUCUUUUUCAUGCUCUCCUUGACGAAUGAUUUUCUUUAAAACAACAGCAGUUUUGAAUUCUUGCCAAACUAAAACACCAUGCAUUGAAGCUGGGGAUUUACCUUUUGAAUAAUAUACAGGAGCAUCUAAGACUGGUGGAAGUUGUACAUCGUCUCCAAAAAAAACUACCACAGGAAUACCACCCCAGGUCUGGUCAGAAAUACCUGUGCCACACCUGCAAUGAAAAUCCAUCCAUCCAAGUGUAGUUGAUCCUACUAAAGAUCGUUCAUCAACAAGAAUGGCACGAAUUCCAGAGCAGUUAGCUUGGAGGUCCUCCCCUAAUGAACCAUCUGGUGCCUUCAUUUCUCCUCCUCUCUGAAGGCACUCCAAUCAUGGUCAGGACCUCCAUCAUCAAAAGUAAAAUUCUGAUGUAAAUCAUCAAAGUUUGGAUUUGGACGAAGAACUUCCAUCCAUUCUGGUUGGACCAUGUUGUCAUUCGAACAGUCUUCUUCUUGUGAGAAAUUAUUGCUGGAGUACUCUACAACCUGAUAAACUCACAUAUUGAAAAGAGUGACUAGAACGGAACAGGGGUAUUGAGGAUAGCUCAAAACAGGCUUCCACAGAAGAAAUGUCUCUCUUAACAGUAUUCAUAAGAAGUUUUGUACAGAGUGAUUUUGGUGUUUCACCUGAGGAUUCAUCAGAAUUGUUUACCAUGUCAGAAAAAAGAUCAGAAAGAGCACCAGUUGGUUCGUUACCUUUGCAGGCAUACCCUGUUAUAUAUUUUUCAGUGGCAAGAAUUUCUUCAACAGAUGGAUUAGAUGGAUCGCUUUUAGAAAGAAUUAAAGAAAUGUCACCAUUGGCUCUCCAGCCUUGCGUAUGAAAUUUGGAAUGUUGCACAAGAACUGGAUGAUCUCUUUCCAUCUCGAGUCGCAGAGAUCCAUUCCUGUCUUUAACUAAAGCGGGGGAAGAUCGCAGCUGUUUUGGAAAUUCCAUUCUACAAUUUUUUUCAGAUGCAUUGAAUUUAGAAGGUUUCAGGCAAUAAUCUGAACACCGGUGUAAAUUAAAACGGUUAGAUAAAAGUAAAUGAUCCUCUAGUAGUGAUUCUUGGGAAUAACUGACAUCCAUCAAAAGUUUGAAUAGGGGAUUAUUUUCAUCUGGAGGAGGAGGAGCAGUACCCUCUGGUGGAGGCCACAAAUUUUUAUUUGAGAUACCGUUUUCAUCCUUACCAGCAGGAUGAUUAGCUGUGAGACCAAAAUUUUCACUAGCCCACUGAGAUAGUUUUUCAGCACAUUCUUCAUCUGAAAGACCAGCUGAGAUGGCAUUGUGCAAAAGAUUAUGAGGCUCUCGAUCUGAUCUCCAGCAAAGACCAUGCCAGUGAACCAUACCUCUUGACUUAGCAAACUCUUGUCUGUACCAAUAUGAGUCAACACCAAAGACAGGACCCAUUACAUUUCUAAAAUAUGAUUGUGUUCUCAGGUCGAAAUAUUGAGCAACUACAUGUGCAUGGUCUUGAAGAGUUUUAAAAAGAAUAUUUUUGUCUGUCAGAUCUACUGAUGAGCCAGUUGUUUGAGAGACAUACAUAGAUAAUAAUCUCUUGAGAGGUUUGAAGUGAAACUCUGCACAACUACCUGUAGUAAAAAAUGAUGGUAGACCCAUUCCCUCAUUUAUUUUAUAUUGCACUAAUGAUCUUAAUUCUUUUGCCCUCUGUCCCCAGUAUUGAGUUGUGCCCCUUAGAUUUCCUGCAAAAUACAGAAUUUUUUCAUUCACUGAUGUGUCAUUAUUUUCAACAAGUUUUUUCAGAUCACUGAUUGUGAAGUGGUUGUCUCCAAGUUUUUGUUUUAUUAUGUAUUUGCUCUUUUCAAGGGCAUUUUUGCGCAUGAUCAUAUUGUGAACUACAAAUUUGAAAUACGGAUGUUUGGCAAACCUGCCAUCAUCAUACCAUAAUAAAUGUUCAGCCCAGUCAGUCAUAGAUGUGAUAGAAAUAGGUCUGUUAAUGUAUAAGUCACCAGAGCCAUAAGGAAAGAGGGCAGGAAAGGCAAGAGUAAAAAAAUGCUGAGUAGUAAAUUCUGAUACAGGAAUAUUUCCUCUGGUGGGCCAAGGAAUAGAUAUUGUCCCCUGUCUGUUGAUAGAAACUUCCCCAUUAUUUUCCCCAAUGAUCUCUUGCACAAUUUUUUGUACUUGUUCCUUAACACGUAUAUUUGAAUCAGGUAGUUGUGCAGCAGAGUGUGAGGUACCUUCAGAAACACCAAUAUCAAUUUGUUCAGCUGAUGGGCCUUUAUCAUUUUUGUGAGGGGUGUUCUCUUUAAAUUGUAGAGUAGUUAUAUCUGAUAACUCUCCAUCCUCGGGGAGUUUUUGUAAUCUCUCAGAACUUAUAAUUAUGUCUGUAUAAGCAGGGUUAUUAUUUUUGAGCCAUUUUAAAGCUUUUUCAAUUUUGAAACGACGGACUCUAAAUUCUCUGCAUGUAUCAUUUUUGCCUUGUUUUUUAACUUUUAUAAUUUGAAUUUCUUGAGGGAGUCGAGGAAAAAUUCUGGCAGGCUCAUUUAUUUCUUGAGGAAAAGUUACACAAUGACCUGAGGAAGCAAUGCCACCAUGAUUUAGCAUAUGGACAUUAAUGCAAGGGGAGAGUCUACUGAUGAGUUGUUGCUCAAUAAUUGUAAGAUCUUGCAAUUCCUGGGGUAAUUUUCCUGGGUCCAUGUUGUUUGAAGAUGAAAAUAAUUUAAUCUUAUUUUUGUCAGUUUUACAUCGUGUGCAGAUGUCGUUUGAUGACAUUCUUGUUUCAAGUCUUCUUUCUUUACAAAUAGUACAAAAUUGAAAGCUAUAUGACAUUUGUUGCAGUUCAAAGGCUCUGAUGGAGUCCAUGGCAUUAUCAUAUUUUGUAUUGUCACAAAGAGGGGGAGGUGGGGGAAGAUCUGACUCAUUUAAUUUAUAUUUUUGUAUGAUGCUUUUAAUUUGUUUUUGUAGUUUUGAUCGGCGUGAUUUGUAUUUUACAUAAGUUUCAUUUUCUGCAGGCAUUUCAUAUUUAAUACCAUAUUUUCUACAAAGUUCCUGAAGCCUUUUCUCAUGUUCAGGUGCAUGUUUAAUUUUUUUUGCUGAAGUGGAAUACAAGUAUGGUCUGAAUUGUCGUUUUCUAGAUGGAUUAGAAUUUUUUUGGACUACUGUUGGGCUCUUUAAAUGCAAGUUUUCAUGAUUUUGACUUGUACAUGUAGACUGUGCAUAUGAAUGUUCAAGGAAUAGAUGUUGCUCUGAGUGGCAUAAGCUGCUAUUGUAAUGUUCGACAUUUGCAUAAUUAUGCUCAGAAGGAAUAUUGUUUACAACACUGUCAAGGUUUUGUUGCUUUGUUUGCUUGCAUGUGUCUGUUUCUUGUUGUAAAUGGGCUUCAAAAUUUUGGACAUUUGCAUAAUUGUGUUCAGAAGGAAUGUUAUUUUUAAUACAUCCAUGGUUUUGAUGGCUGGUUGGUUUGGAUGAAUUUGUUUCUUGUGCAGAUGUUAAAUGAGAUUGCACAGUUUCAAAAUUUUGGAGAGAUUUUUUAUUUGACUUGCUUGAUUGUGUUUCAGAUAGAGCAGGUGUCAAGUACUGAAAAUGUUGAUUUUUUAGUAACAAAUUAAUUGGUGGAUUAUCUGUAUGAGCAGAAGGUUGAAAGGUUGUGAGCAUAUGAGAUGUCAUAUUUUUUGCAUUUUUACACUCAAGCCAAACAUUGAUUUGACGUUUAAGUAAUAAAGCUGCAACUUCAACUUCACAAGAAGAAGCGUAAUCAUUCCCAAGAAUCAUUUGUUGAAAGUAUGACAAUGAAGAAUGCUGUUGGAUUUCAAGAUUAUUUUGAAAAUUUUCCCAAUUUUUCAGUAUGUGAUUACAAAUUUCUUGCCUGUAAGUACUGGUCAUGAUUAAAUUGUCAUGUAAUGCAAGACUCAAGCAAUGAAAAAAGCAAUUUCCGUCCCCAGGAACAUUAUGCACAUGAAAUUUUUGGUCAGAGAUGACAGUGCCAACUCUUCUAGGAUUCUUUGCACUUUGAUUCAUUCUGAUACCUGAUUAUUUGCCGAUACUUGACACUUUACCAAUGCUUAUGUGAAAAUUGUAAUGUUUAAAUCUUGAUUAAACAAUAUGUUACUCUAUACUUAUCACCUUUUCUUAUUUUUCCCCACUUUUCACAAAGGUUUGUUUACUUGCAGCAGUUUGCAGGAACCAGGCUAGCAGACGA